UUAAGUGAAAAUGCUUAAAUGACUAAUUAGACGAUAAGACCCUAUAGAGCUUUAUAUAUGUAUUCUGUUAAGUAUUAAAAUUUUUAUUAGUUAAUAACCAGGUUGUAUAUUUUAUUGGGGCAAUAAAAGAAUAAAAUUAACUUCUUAUUAAUAAAUUUUAUUUAAUUAAUUAACUUUUAGUAUAAAAUUUAAUAGAAGUUACCUUAGGGAUAACAGCGUUAUUAAAGUUGAGAGUUCUUAUCGACACUUUAGAUUGCGACCUCGAUGUUGAAUUAAAAAUUCUUUGAGGGGCAGCAUUUUUAUUAGAUGGUCUGUUCGACCAUUAAAUUUUUACAUGAUUUGAGUUCAAACCGGUGUGAGCCAGGUUGGUUUCUAUCUUUUAGUU
rnacentral:ncRNA from 1 species